AGUUUUGUUGUGCAGAGAAAAUAUAGCGGGACCCCAGACAUCGCACGUGUACACGCGCGUCCGUGUGGCCACGUGGUAGUAGGUCAAGGACAUAGGCCCCUAUACACUCUGCAGCAGCACAUUCAAUAUCGUAGUACGCAUUUAUAAAUAAGUGUGUUGUGCUGAUGAUGAUCAUGAUGGAGCCCGUAAAUGAAGAUCAACAAGUUGAUGAAAUCUUAACUCGAUUUUGGGAAGAUGGCAUGAGGGCAUAUGGAACUUCAGAGCGAGCGAGAGUUCAAAAAGCAAGUAAAGAGACCGGUGUGUCUGUGACCUAUGUGAAGAGAUAAUAGGCGCUGAAGACAUUUCGAUCUUGAGAGAACAGGUGCAGUCGAUAUUUAACGCCAAAUAUAAGAAGCAACAGGGCAAAAGAAAAUGACAUACAAACGCCUGUCGGAAAUUAACGUUGUGGGUCUGCCGGAAGAUAUGGUGUUAAAGCGGCCUUCUGCUUAUGGGAAAAAGAGCCUCAAGAGGAUCAUUCAAGCGAAAGAUAAGAUUCAGUUCUUUCAUCCUGAACAUGCAGAACGCCACUUUCCAGCAGUAUUUAUAGACCCACUAGCUCCUGUAGCCCCUGUGGCCCCUGUGGAUGUUGUCGUCAAACAAGAAGUGCCACAUCCUGGAAUGCCAAGAAUCACCACUUUCCAGCAGUAUUUAUAGACCCACUAGCUCCUGUAGCCCCUGUGGCCCCUGUGGAUGUUGUCGUCAAACAAGAAGUGCCACAUCCUGGAAUGCCAAGAAUCAAAAACUCUGCAAGGGAUCUUGAUCAGUCUCAAAAUACUGGGCAGGAUUUUGCCGUGGAAACGACACACAAAGACCAAAAGCCAGAUCACAACUUGGUUGUUGCGGAAGCGAACCACUGCAAUCUCAUCUUGACGGGCAGCGAUGGCUUGACAAUCACUCCAAUCUUU